rnacentral:ncRNA from 1 species
GCAGCUAGGGGUGCUCCUCCAAAGAGGGGCUGAGAAACACCCUUUGAACCUGAUCCGGUUAAUACCUGCGCAGGGAAGCUGAAAUC